rnacentral:rRNA from 1 species
UUGACCUCGAUCAGGUAGGAAUACCCGCUGAACUUAAGCAUAUCAAUAAGCGGAGGAAAAGAAACCAACAGGGAUUGCCCUA